CAUAGCUAAGGAGAUAUGGAUCCACACAAGGAAAGGUCCUCUACGGGAAAAGGGACAGCAACAUACCUCCAUGCUUAGAUCACACAUGCCCAACCCUUACAGCAAAUAAGGAUAUUACUGGGAGAACUUCUCUGAAGUGUGACAGUUGCUCGGGGAGUCUGCCAGGUAGCUUUGGGGGGAACCCUCAAAUGAACAAGGAGAACCAAGGUGUGAAUCUGAGACAUCCCAUAUAGUGAGAAAGUGCUGAUGGCAGCAUGACAAACCUCUCUCUGGAGCUGAUGCUGUGUAGUCACAUCUGCAGCCGAAGCACCAUCGCAGCCUCACCAGCAGGAAGCUUAGUGAGGAAAGCAGGGGCAACCAUCCUACAAUGCCUCAGCGAGGAUGAGAAAGGCCGUGCAACCUGAGCAGCACGCAGACUCUGAGACACACAGUCAUACAGAGAUUUGAGAAGCUGUAAAUCCAUUACCCUGAACAACUGAGGCAUCCUGUCCGUGCUGCAAACUGUCUCUGUUAAGAACUUUGCCACUGUGACGGCGACCCCAGGCUGCCAGCAAGGACAGCCUGCAGUGGCUGUGGUGGAACCUGCUUCUCCAGUGUGGUCCCUUUUCAUGCUGCUGCUUCUCAGUUGACCCAGAAAUCCUCACCUUCACCUGCAAGACACACCAGGCACUACUGUGAAGUACAAAUUUAUCAAUUCUAGAAAUGUGGGUAACAAUCAUAAGCAUCUGGAAUAAAGCAAUUUGAGAAUGGACUCCUGUAAACUGUACUGUGAGAUAUAAACCACUUCAAAGGACAACCCUUUUUGACAGGGCAUUUCCUGAGCAGGAUGAAGAGUCAAAGUUAAAUUCCUAGAGAUCUAUGAGCAGUUCUGAGGAAUGUGAAAGAAACAUCCCAGGCCCAGCCAGAUCAGCACCCUGAUCACCAGCUGCAUCAUCUUUUGUGCCAAAACAAAGAAGGGGACAGGAAUAAGCAGCCGAGGAAGAGAGGCAUAUCUCCUUUACAAAGGCUCUUCAUGCAACAGUGGCAUCAGCUUUUCAACCAAGCUUGCUGCUGCUCCCUCCCCCUGUACCUUGCAUCACACCUAUGAAGUCCAGUAUCACCUGUAUGUAUAAUACCUUAUUUUCUCUCCAACUUCCACUUGGUUUGGUUUGGUGUAUACCAACCAGCAGAGGCUAAACCAGAACAAAAAGAAGCAACUGGACUUGUCAAGACCUGCAGGUGGGGACUAGCCUGAUAACAAAGCUCCAGCUGGGAGAACACUGACCACAUCCAAAAGAGCCACUGAGGACUUCUCUGGGACCGGCACAUGCUAAGUAAAGGGAUGUUUUUAACAGAUCUCCUGCCACCCUCUUGGCCCCAUGGAAAAGAAACAGUAGGAUGUGGCAGACUGAAGACUCAGUUGUGUCUGGCACACUGGUGGAAACCCUCAUGUAGCUGGUCAACUGGUCAUAGGUGCUUCACUCCUGACCAGCUUCUUAUUGUGUUACACACCACAGACACCAACAUGCAAGAGCACAUUUCUCCAGUGUAGGCAUAGGUGAAGAAUUCGGAAAAUAAAAACUAAAUUAGGGCAGGUGGCCAAAAUACAAAGCUGUCCAAGAAUAAUAUCCAUAACCAUCUAUUGCAGGAAGCCUAAACAUUGAAGUAGUUAUGAAGGUAUCUAGCAUCUUUUGCGUAACUAUCAGUGAUGAUGGCAUCUGUGGGUAACCCUUACUCCUUCUAAUUUGCUUUCUGUAUUAAAAAAAACAAAAACAAAAACAAAACAUGCUAGUUGUGCAGCUCUUCCUCACAGUUGAUUUCUCCCUGUGGCAACUAACCAGACAUGCCAAACACAUUGACAGAGGUUCUCUUGAACUGAAGCCAAGCCCACAGUUAAAGUUUUCAGCAUAGCUGCAGCAAGCAACUGCAUUUUAUGAUGUAAAAACAGGAGUUGUGAGAUGCACUAACGUGACUGUGUAGUCAGUAUAUAUUUUGUUUAGGGGAUUCUUAUGAAGUGCUUCUAUGUCAGGAGGACUUUACCAGCUAAAAGCAUCUGAUGGAGAUGACUUGCUCUAGCAGAAGUAAUCCACUCCUGCCCACCUCAGAAAACAUUAUCAGAUGGGAUGGGUGUUAUCUUGCUAAUUUACUUUUCCUCUGGGCAGGCCCAGUAUCCAACAACCCAGAAACUCCUUCAAAGACAAUACAAAGCAACAGUCUGCACCAUGGACAUUUCAGACACUCUCAUCCCAUCCUGCAUCCCCACACACUGAGGGAGAAUUGAGGAAGAGGAACCAAAUUCCCACUCCGGAAAAAUGAGGCGUAAAAGGAGAUGUAAGCUGCUUCCUUCCACUUUUCUCUCUCUCCAUGGUCUCUCUGUGUGGGUGGCUCUGGGGAGCAUGGUAGAAGGCACAGGUUGUCAUGGGAGGAGGAGAAGCAGCAUUUCUCACAGCUGAAUUUUUACCAGCAUGUGCUGAGGUUCGUGAACUCACUCAGCCUCUGGCCCAAGGCUAAAUUCAACUAUGUCUGAGGU